rnacentral:rRNA from 1 species
GAUGAACGCUGGCGGCGUGCCUAAUACAUGCAAGUCGAGCGAACAGACGAGGAGCUUGCUCCUCUGACGUUAGCGGCGGACGGGUGAGUAACACGUGGAUAACCUACCUAUAAGACUGGGAUAACUUCGGGAAACCGGAGCUAAUACCGGAUAAUAUAUUGAACCGCAUGGUUCAAUAGUGAAAGACGGUUUUGCUGUCACUUAUAGAUGGAUCCGCGCCGCAUUAGCUAGUUGGUAAGGUAACGGCUUACCAAGGCAACGAUGCGUAGCCGACCUGAGAGGGUGAUAGGCCACACUGGAACUGAGACACGGUCCAGACUCCUACGGGAGGCAGCAGUAGGGAAUCUUCCGCAAUGGGCGAAAGCCUGACGGAGCAACGCCGCGUGAGUGAUGAAGGUCUUCGGAUCGUAAAACUCUGUUAUUAGGGAAGAACAAAUGUGUAAGUAACUAUGCACGUCUUGACGGUACCCAAUCAGAAAGCCACGGCUAACUACGUG